CCUACGGGAGGCUGCAGUGGGGAAUAUUGCACAAUGGGCGCAAGCCUGAUGCAGCCAUGCCGCGUGUGUGAAGAAGGCCUUCGGGUUGUAAAGCACUUUCAGCGGGGAGGAAGGCGUUAAGGUUAAUAACCUUGUCGAUUGACGUUACCCGCAGAAGAAGCACCGGCUAACUCCGUGCCAGCAGCCGCGGUAAUACGGAGGGUGCAAGCGUUAAUCGGAAUUACUGGGCGUAAAGCGCACGCAGGCGGUCUGUCAAGUCGGAUGUGAAAUCCCCGGGCUCAACCUGGGAACUGCAUUCGAAACUGGCAGGCUAGAGUCUUGUAGAGGGGGGUAGAAUUCCAGGUGUAGCGGUGAAAUGCGUAGAGAUCGGGAGGAAUACCGGUGGCGAAGGCGGCCCCCUGGACAAAGACUGACGCUCAGGUGCGAAAGCGUGGGGAGCAAACAGGAUUAGAUACCCCGGUAGUC
rnacentral:rRNA from 1 species